GACGAACGCUGGCGGCGUGCUUAACACAUGCAAGUCGAACGGAAAGGCCCUGCUUUUGUGGGGUGCUCGAGUGGCGAACGGGGGAGUAACACGUGAGUAACCUGCCCUUGACUUUGGGGUAACUUCAGGAAACUGGGGCUAAUACCGUAUAGGAGCUCCUGCUGCAUGGUGGGGGUUGGAAAGUUUCGGCGGGUGGGGAUGGACUCGCGGCUUAUCAGCUUGUUGGUGGGGUAGUGGCUUACCAAGGCUUUGACGGGUAGCCGGCCUGAGAGGGUGACCGGGCACAUUGGGACUGAGAUACGGCCCAGACUCCUACGGGAGGCAGCAGUGGGGAAUAUUGCACAAUGGGCGGAAGCCUGAUGCAGCAACGCCGCGUGCGGGAUGACGGCCUUCGGGUUGUAAACAGCUUUCGCCUGUGACGAAGCGUGAGUGACGGUAAUGGGUAAAGAAGCACCGGCUAACUACGUG
rnacentral:rRNA from 1 species